CUGCUGGCUCUUUUCCUCUUAGGCUAUAGCUACUAGUCCCCCUCGCUCCUCUCCCCUCCCUCUUCCCUCCUUCUCACUCUUCUCUCCUUUUCUCCUGCUGCCUUCUGAUUCCUGCUGGGGCACCACAGGGCUUCCCUUCCCCUUUCCCUGCCAGACUGUGCCUGCUCCCUGCUAAAAGAUAACCCAUAAGCUAACUGGUUAUGACUGCACUUAUUGGUUAAAUGAUUAAUCAUUUAACCUUUCACGUGCCUACUGCCAGCUCAGCUUUGCCAGCACCAGAGCUGGAGAUGACGGGAGGUGGAAGCAGAGCUCCCUCGCCUUGUGAUCCAUCUCCCCCCAAGACCACAGCACAGGUUAAAAGAUCUGCACUUUUGCCCAGGACCCAGAAAGCAACCAUCUGUCACCUCUAAAGACAUUUUCCCAGAGCCUCAGACAUUCACAACUUGAAACAGUAUGACCUCCAUGCUGUAAAGAAGAUGGUUUUCCAGAGAUGAAACACCAAGAUACUUUGUGGUAGGUUCCCAGCUGCCAAAGUAUCACAGCAGUAAGUAAUGUCAACAAUCAACUUUACAUAUCAGAACAGAGAAAUAUUCCCAGACAAACCAUGUAAAAAUAGAACGAUAUAUUUUAAAUAAAUUCUCAGUGACACAA